rnacentral:lncRNA from 1 species
AGGGGUUGGUCGGUGAGGACCAUGACGGCGUGUGCUUGAAAAUAUGGACGGAGUCAUUGCGUGGAUAUGACCAAGGCAAAUAUCAUCUUCUCUGCUCUCGAGUAUCGAGUUUUGGCUUCGUAGAGUACUUUGCUGGUAUAAUAUAUGGGUUGGUGAGUUCGGCUCUUGUUCUCCCGGAUGAGUACCGAACAAACCGCCUCUGGGAUGGUAGCCAAGUAAAGGUAUAAUAUUUCUCCGACCUCUGGCUUUACAAGCAGGGGUGGAG